UACGUAGGGUCCGAGCGUUGUCCGGAAUUAUUGGGCGUAAAGGGCUCGUAGGCGGUCUGUUGCGUCGGGAGUGAAAACUUACAGCUUAACUGUGAGCGUGCUUUCGAUACGGGCAGACUUGAGGCAUUCAGGGGAGAACGGAAUUCCUGGUGUAGCGGUGAAAUGCGCAGAUAUCAGGAGGAACACCGAUGGCGAAGGCGCCUAUCUGGCCCGAUACUGACGCUGAGGCGCGAAAGCUAGGGGAGCAAACGGG
rnacentral:rRNA from 1 species